CAUUAAAAACUCAUUUCCGCCCGAACCCUUCUCAGUGAAAAACCUAGGCUUCAAAACUCAUGUCCGCAGACAAAAACCCAAAGCUUCAUCUCUUCUCCACCACUACCAAGGGUCGGCGGCCUCCUCCACUUCAUCACCGCCGGCCUCUCUCAUUCUCUUCCUCUACCCAAUUGGGAGAGGACAGGCUCCCUCUUCCGCCUCCAUCUCAUCCACAGCCGAUGCUAACGCACACAAUAGGAGCUUCAUCCCAGAAUUCGUCGGCCAUCUCAUCUCCUCUACUAUCAUCCUCAUCGCUAACGACAAGGUCUUCUCACAGAUCUUGUGGAUCUGAAAGCCAUCUCACAGUGCCUUCAUCCUCAGCCCACCACCUUCUCCCAAUUGGGAGAGGUGGUGCCACCGUCGAACUCUACAUCACCCUCUCCUGAUUGGUAGAGGUUUCUUCACCACCACUGGUUUUCUUCCACCUCUUCAUUUUGGAUUUAAAGAGUAAAGCUUCAUCACUAGCCGGUAGCGCCUCUCCUCUUCGGAUUUGAAGAGGAGAGUUCAUCCAUCCUUUCGACAACCCCUUUCUCUUCAGAUUUGAAAAGAAGGGUCCGUUCUCCAUCAAUGAGCAGUUCAUCCACAGCCUUCACUGACAGAUUGGCCGUCGGAGAAUCUCCAUCCAGUAGCCCCCUCUCUACUUUAGAUUCGAAGAGGAGAGCUGUAUUCCAAUUCAUGUCUACGACAUUGGGUUAUUUCUAUCUAUGUUGGAUUGUGUUAUGCUUGUUGGUUGUUAAUUGUAACGUAACUAUUCUCCCAUAUUUAGAAUUGCAUGUAUUUUGCUUAAUUGAAUUCUCGCUCAUUAUGUGUUUGAUGAAAUGCCUCUUUCAUUAGUUAGUUUCUAAACUUGCAUCUUCUUUGGUUUGAAUUCUUGUGAUGGUUAGUUAGUUGAAUGUUUUAGGUUAGAUUAGAUUAGUUCAAUUUUGAAAAAUUUCUGCGACUCAAAUUUAUUCAACUUUUCAAUUGCCUUGCCUAGACUCAAAUUGCCUUGAAUGGAGUUCAAUUAGGUUGGUUAGGAUUCAUGUACCAAACACCAAAUACCUAGAGUUAGCUGGGCUUAUUGUGAUUUUGGAUAUAUCCACUAUUAAUUUCAUAAUUUUCAAGCAUGUAGUUAUGUAUAGCUUUUUUAGUUUUUUUAUUUUUGUUAAACCUAAUAUAUCUAUCAUGAUGCUUUUCCAUAGAUUGGCAAGACCUGUGGGGAGAAAUGGAAAACAAUUUCAUUUGAGGUUGGAUCUUGCAUAUUUUUAUACACCAAUGCAUAUGAUUUAGUUUUUUGGUAUAAGAAAAAUGCUAUAAUACAUAUAUACAUCUAUUUGCAAACGUGAAUGAUUCAAGGCAACUAAGACUAUGCAAGAGUUAGAAAGGCAUUGCUAUAUUGUAUGAGAUUGGAGAUAGAGACAAGGUCAUUGCUGAGAUAGAGGAUGUAUCCAUUUCUCUAAAGGGAUACCCAGGUACUUCUUCAAGAUUAAUUUUAUGCUUCCUACAAUACAUGUUUUACAAGUUUUUAUAAGGGGUAUCUUUCAUCCCACAGAGAUACAUGCAGCUCUAGCUGUAUCAUUGUAUACUAACAAGCAUGCUGCACUCCUUGCUGAGAACCAGUUUACAAUUUCCACUCUUUUGGAUCCUCAUUAUACUGAUCUCUCAUAUGUCAGGGGAACUAAGCAUUGGCCUUCGAGCUUUAUUGAUUCCUUGUAGCAUGUCAUCACACUUUCCUAACAAGCUCCAAUAUCUUUCUUGGUUGAUAAAUGGUGAUGCAUUAAGUCUUUUUCAAUGCAGAUGUUAAUGGACCAUAAACAAAUUUUGUGUGCCACUUCUAAAGGACAUCAUAUCACAAGUAGAUUCUAAAGGAUACAUUUGAUAAGCUUGUUUAAAUUGAUUACAUAUGAUUUCUUUUCUUCAUUGCAAGUAACUUUUAUGUGAUAUAUAUACAUUGCUGAUAACACACAUGCCAACCAUACAAUUUUUACUUUAAGCCUCAUCUCAAGCACAACGAGAAAGCCACAUAUAAACAGAGCUAAGUGAAGUUCAACAUUGCUUGCAUGAUGCUCUUUAAGGAGACAUUGAUAAGCGAAGAGGAGGAAAAAGCACUACUUGAUCAGAGUAUGGAGGAUUAAGAUGCAAAAUAUAGAAAAAUGAAAGUCCAUGGCUACAUAUAUCAAGAGAGAGGUUCAUCAUCAUUUAUCUCCAGUCUCUUAGAAUAUUGCAUGGGCCUAAUAACCUUUCUUUUUUGUUAAAAUUUGUUUGAAAGUGGAGAGUUCUCUAAUGAAUCUAAUUACUAAAUGAUUGGUAAGGAUGUUGGAUAUGUAUCUGUGAGAAAAAAAGAGUUCUCUAAUGAAUCCAAACUUACGUGUUGCUUAAGUAUUUUUACCUUAAGUUUUUGAUCUUUCACCGAUCUGUGUUUGUUUUCUUUGAUACACAGGUUUGUUCCGCCUUUGUACAACUUAUAGAAGUUCAACCAUCAUUUCUAGAGAUAUUUUGAAGGUGAGUGGAGGUAUUAAAAAACUCCAGCUAAAUAGCUCGAGUAUGGAUGAUUACAGGAGCAACAACUAUAUGCUAUGUGGCAGUGCAUCUGAACCUCAGGGGUGUGACUGGGAAGUACUUCGACGAAGAACUAUCAAGAAAGCUUUGGGAUUUAAGUGAGAAGAUGGUUAAAGUCAAUGAGUAAAGAACAUUCAAGUCAAGAGGAUAAGUAGCAACUAUCAAGAUCCUUUUAAGUUCAUGCAAUAAGAUGUAAUUGAUAGGAGUAGUUUUGAGUGUCUCCUAAUUAAAAUUUCUUUGUAUGUAAGUAAUAAUGUUUGUUA